CCUUGUGGUCAAGUGGCAGUGGACGGGCCUGGGACGCCAACACGUUUCAGGUUCGAUCCUCCUGCUAUGCGAAACUAAGUCACAUUGUUCUGUUCACCUAACGCGGAUAUGGGUCCAUGCUUUAGGACCCAUUUGAAUGCCCAGGAGAAGGAGUCCAUCCGCGGGCUUGCGACUCCCCCGGGGGUUAGGUCUGGUUCCAAUAGUGACCCGGGUUUAACCCUUUUAGUUUCAAAAAAAAAAAAACACCACAUACGAUACGAUACGAUUCUCUGAGAGAGAAUAAGAAAGACGGAAGUUAGGUGAAGUCUUCGGUUCCUCAUCGUGUACGUGAGCACACUGGAACUUAACCCGGACGUAUUGCUUGUAAACUAAACCGGAUUUGAUAAUUGGCAUUCGGUCCGGUUACAAUCGAAUUAUCGAAAUCUCGAUGAUUUGAAAGGGCAGUAUCCGAUCCCUGGAUCGGCUGCUGUAUGGAGACUCUAUGCUCCGGCUUUGAUUAUAGUUUUCGGGUUGUGUGAUUUGAAUUUAGCUGCUGUUGAGAUGGAUUUGGUUGCUAGCUGCAAGGUAUUAGCUCGAUAUGUUUGCUUGAUACUGAAUAAUUUGAAAAUGCUUGAGCAGAGCUUUUGUUGUAGUAGUAAUUGACCUGAAGAUUGAUUUGCUAUGCUACUGAGUAGAAACUGGUGCUUUUAAAAAGUCUAUUUUGGUUAUAUGAAUUGUUAUUUGUUUA